GAUGAACGCUGACAGAAUGCUUAACACAUGCAAGUCAACUUGAAUUUGGGUUUUUAACUUAGGUUUGGGUGGCGGACGGGUGAGUAACGCGUAAAUAACUUGCCUCACAGCUAGGGACAACAUUUGGAAACGAAUGCUAAUACCUAAUAUUAUGAUAAUAGGGCAUCCUAUAAUUAUGAAAGCUAUAAGCGCUGUGAGAGAGCUUUGCGUCCCAUUAGCUAGUUGGAGAGGUAACGGCUCACCAAGGCGAUGAUGGGUAGCCGGCCUGAGAGGGUGAUCGGCCACAAGGGGACUGAGACACGGCCAUUACUCCUACGGGAGGCAGCAGUGAGGAAUAUUGGACAAUGGACCAAGAGUCUGAUCAAGCAAUUCUGUGUGCACGAUGAAGUUUUUAGGAAUGUAAAGUGCUUUCAGUUGGGAAGAAAGAAAUGACGGUACCAAAAGAAGAAGUGACGGCUAAAUACGUG
rnacentral:rRNA from 1 species